rnacentral:rRNA from 1 species
GAUGAACGCUGGCGGUAUGCUUAACACAUGCAAGUCGAACGGACUCUUCGGAGUUAGUGGCGGACGGGUGAGUAACGCGUGAGAAUCUGGCUUUGGGUUCGGGACAACCACUGGAAACGGUGGCUAAUACCGGAUGUGCCGAGAGGUAAAAGAGAAAUUGCCUGAAGAUGAGCUCGCGUCUGAUUAGCUAGUCGGUGAGGUAAAGGCUCACCAAGGCAGCGAUCAGUAGCUGGUCUGAGAGGAUGACCAGCCACACUGGGACUGAGACACGGCCCAGACUCCUACGGGAGGCAGCAGUGGGGAAUUUUCCGCAAGGGGCGAAAGCCUGACGGAGCAAUACCGCGUGAGGGAAGAAGGCUCUUGGGUUGUAAACCUCUUUUCUUAGGGAAGAACAAAAUGACGGUACCUAAGGAAUCAGCAUCGGCUAACUCCGUG